rnacentral:rRNA from 1 species
UACGUAGGGGGCGAGCGUUGUCCGGAUUUAUUGGGCGUAAAGAGCGUGUAGGCGGCCAGGUAGGUCUGCUGUGAAAACUCGAGGCUCAACCUCGAGACGUCGACGGAAACCGUCUGGCUAGAGUCCGGAAGAGGAGAGUGGAAUUCCUGGUGUAGCGGUGAAAUGCGCAGAUAUCAGGAAGAACACCGAUGGCGAAGGCAGCUCUCUGGGACGGUACUGACGCUGAGACGCGAAAGCGUGGGGAGCGAACAGG